rnacentral:rRNA from 1 species
UACCUAGGGGGCAAGCGUUGUCCGGAAUUAUUGGGCGUAAAGAGCGUGUAGGCGGCCAGGUAGGUCUGCUGUGAAAACUCGAGGCUUAACCUCGAGCUGUCGGCGGAAACCAUCUGGCUAGAGUCCGGAAGAGGAGAAUGGAAUUCCCGGUGUAGCGGUGAAAUGCGCAGAUAUCGGGAAGAACACCCGUGGCGAAGGCGGUUCUCUGGGACGGUACUGACGCUGAGACGCGAAAGCGUGGGGAGCGAACAGG